AUUGAACGCUGGCGGCAGGCCUAACACAUGCAAGUCGAGCGAGCGACGGACGGGUGCGUACUGUAUGGGGACUGCCCGUUACCUGGGGAUAACUACUGGAAACGGUAUCUAAUACCGCCUACUAUCGGCUAACCCCUAUGGGAUUAGCUAGUAGGUGAGGUAAUGGCUCACAUAGGCGACGAUCCCUAGCUGGUCUGAGAGGUUGAUCAGCCACACUGGGACUGAGACACGGCCCAGACUCCUACGGAGGCAGCAGUGGGGAAUAUUGCACAAUGGGCGAAAGCCUGACGCAGCCAUGCCGCAUGUAUGAAGAAGGCCCUAGGGUUGUAAAGUACUUUCAUUCGGGAGGCGUUACCGACAGAAGAAGCACCGGCUAACUCCGUGCCAGCAGCCGCGGUAAUAC
rnacentral:rRNA from 1 species